UACGUAGGGACCAAGCGUUGUUCGGAUUUACUGGGCGUAAAGGGCGCGUAGGCGGCUUUAUAAGUCACUUGUGAAAUCUCCGGGCUUAACUCGGAACGGCCAAGUGAUAUUGCAAUGCUAGAGUGCGGAAGGGGCAAUCGGAAUUCUUGGUGUAGCGGUGAAAUGCGUAGAUAUCAAGAGGAACACCUGAGGUGAAGACGGGUUGCUGGGCUGACACUGACGCUGAUGCGCGAAAGCCAGGGGAGCAAACGGG
rnacentral:rRNA from 1 species